UACGAAGGGGGCUAGCGUUGUUCGGAAUUACUGGGCGUAAAGCGCACGUAGGCGGAUUUGUAAGUCAGGGGUGAAAUCCCGGGGCUCAACCCCGGAACUGCCUUUGAUACUGCAAGUCUCGAGUCCGAGAGAGGUGAGUGGAAGUCCUAGUGUAGAGGUGAAAUUCGUAGAUAUUAGGAAGAACACCAGUGGCGAAGGCGGCUCACUGGCUCGGUACUGACGCUGAGGUGCGAAAGCGUGGGGAGCAAACAGG
rnacentral:rRNA from 1 species